rnacentral:rRNA from 1 species
UACGGGGGGGGCAAGCGUUGUUCGGAAUUACUGGGCGUAAAGGGCGCGUAGGCGGCCUGGCAAGUGGAAGGUGAAAUCCCUCGGCUUAACCGAGGAACUGCCUCCCAAACUGCUUGGCUUGAGACCGGGAGAGGUGAGUGGAAUUCCCAGUGUAGCGGUGAAAUGCGUAGAUAUUGGGAGGAACACCGGUGGCGAAGGCGGGUCUCUGGGCAGUAACUGACGCUGAGGAGCGAAAGCGUGGGGAGCGAACAGG